rnacentral:lncRNA from 1 species
GCCCUGCAGCUGGUGGUCCCGCUGCAGCACCCGCUCGGCCACUUGGAAGAAGGGAAAGAACAGGUCAUCAGGGCUCCAAGCCAUGGUAGGGAACAGCCCUGUCCUGCCCCACUCACCCCUCCAGUGCUGGAAGGAGACCACGGUGCCCAGGUGCCCUGGGAGGCUGCGCAUGCCCUCCAGUGGCCCCCCUGCCCCUGCGGCGGCCCUCCCCUGGCUAAACUNNNNNNNNNNNNNNNNNNNNNNNNNNNNNNNNNNNNNNNNNNCCCCCCCGCCGGCGGCCCGGGGGCCCCCCCCCCCCCCCCCCCCCCCCCCCCGCCGCUGCGGCGCUCAUUCUCCAGGUACAGCUCCAGCAGCAGCAGGUCUGCAGGGGGGUCACCUCCUACCACACGCACUGCCCGGGCCUGGGGCACCCAGGCCAGGGAGACCUCAGCCCCCUCCAGGCCCAGGGCCUGGGCGUGCACCUCCAGGACGCCAGCUUCUGCCUCAGAAAGGGGCUUGGGCAGUUGCACCAGGGCACGAUCUGGUCGGGGACUGGCCAAAGUGUGGCAAGGCUGCUCCGGGUGCCCGGCGGCACAAAGCAGAGCUUGGACGUACUGCUCCAGGAGCUGGGGUGUGGUGCCAGGAGGCAAUCCUUGGAGCAGCAGGCGCGCAGAGGCGCGUGGUGGGGCUGGCCGCAGGCUCAGCCUAGCCCCCUGCAGAGUGUGCUCUGGCCAGGCCAGGACCCUCGCGGCAUCUGCGGGCAAGGGGAGGGGCUGGUCAGGGCCAGCGGCCAGAGGGGCCCAGGCUGUCCCUUUCCGUCGGUCCCUCACCUGCAGGCUCCUCAAAGGUGAGGAUGCCCCCGCGGCCGAGUCUCUGCCAACUCGCCAGAGGCCCACCCCCAGAGCUUCGCCGGUUCUCGAAGUAGAGCGUGAGCAGCUCGUCUGGGACGCUGGGGGGCAGACCACUGAGCUCCACUGCCGCUCCCGCCUCCAACUCCGCCUCUCCCAUCGCCACCCUGGGGCCAGAAGAGGGGGUAGGCAGCAGCCCCACCGUUCCACCUCACGCAGCCCGGGUCCCUUGGUAGCGUUCCCUGAGGUCCCCUUCACUGUGCAGGCGACCUACAUCCCCCCACUUACGCUCCCCGACCCCAGCCUGAGCUGCCCCAACCCGGGCCUUCAGCCAGGACUCCCUCCCCACACCCUGGGACAGGAAAGCAAAAGCGAAACUGUUGCAGGAAGGGAGGAGCGAGCAGUACUGCGCGAGUGUGGCCUUUCAGGUGCUUCCUUCUCAGGCUCCUCCUGCAGGGAUGUUCCAGCCCCGCCCCCGCCCCGCCCCUCCGGCCCUCCAUCAAAACUUCCCCCCNNNNNNNNNNNNNCCGCCCACCAGUCCCGUCCGUUUGUCGUCUGUCCCACCCCAGCCCAGUGGCUGCAGGGUGGGGGGAGUGGCCCCUGGAGGUCCUCCACUCCCACUGGCCCUUCCCUGUGAACCUCAAGACGGCCAAUCACCCUCCCUGGUAAAUACGCCGGGGUUCUUGAGUCAUUGCCCCCAACUCAAAGACCUCAAGCCUCUGUGUUCCCUUCCCCCACUGCAGAGACUUUGGGUCUGCCUGAGGCUGGCUUUCGACUCUCCCCAGCAACCUUGGUGCCUGCACCUGCACUCACCCUUCAACAACUCAAAGGUGGCCGACCUCCCACCUGGCGAAGGUGAGCAGCUCAGCUCCUGACCCUGGAGGGGUACGUCCCGUCCCCAUCACUGCUGGCCCAAGGCACUGCCAUGCCUCUCGCCCGGCUGCACCUUUAGAACCCACACUCCCUCUUGCCAUCCAGUCACCCCUUCCCUGGUGCCCGUAUUCAUUGGCUUCCAGCCUCUGGAAGAGUUGUGCCCACAGUGCUCUCCACCCCCACCUCCCACUUAGCCCUCAGCCACAAAAACUCCCCUUAACCCCUGCUACUUCUGCAAGGGAUUGAGGGCCUGUCCAGUCUGUACCCUGAGCUGCCCCCACCCUGGUCCGAGCCUGUCAUCUCUCGUCUAGAUCACGUGUCUGACUUCUGAACUGAUCUCUCUCUGCCACUCCUGCCCUAUCACACUGUCCAACCUCAACAGAGGGCCUUAAAAGUCACACCAACAGCUGCUAGAGAUUGGACCAUGAUGAAGCCAAAGUCGUUUGGAAGACCUGUCAGGCUGUACUGACCAGGCCCCAGUCCCUGCUGGCUGAAUGCCCCUGUAUCCCCCGAGCUCCGUCAUCCAGUGCAGCAGACCCUCCCUCCCUGACACCUUUGUACUGGCCCUUCCCUCUUCUAGACCAGCCUUUCCCACAGAGCCACCUGGCCACCCCUCCCCCCAACUCACCUUGCUAGGUUCUUGGUGGCAGGUUUAACUUGAACUUAAAAGUCUUCAAGGACCCUCCUAAAGCCCUGACCUCAACUUCACUUUUGUCAUUUUUAGUUUUUUUCUUUAAAAAAGGACCCUCAAAUUGUAUUAACUUCUAGUUGUACAAAACCUGAAGUCACCGCUGCCUGCUCUAUGCUUUGUCUUCUCAUGGAACUCAUUGUCAACAAAGGUCCAUGUAGUCAAGGCUAUGGUUUUUCCAGUAGUCAUGUAUGGAUGUGAGAGUUGGACUAUAAAGAAAGCUGAGUGCCGAAGAAUUGAUGCUUUUGAACAGUGGUGUUGGAGAAGACUCUUGAGAGUCCCUUGGACUGUAAGGAGAUCCAACCAGUCCAUCCUAAAGCAGAUCAGUCCUGGGUGUUCAUUGGAAGGACUGAUGCUAAAGCUGAAACUCCAAUCUUUUGGCCACCUGAUGCGAAGAGCUGACUCAUUUGAAAAGACCCUGAUGCUGGGAAAGAUUGAGGGCAGGAGGAGAAGGGGACGACAGAGGAUGAGAUGUUUAGAUGGCAUCCCCGACUCAAGACUCAAUGGACAUGAGUUUGGGUAGACUCUGGGAGUUGGUGAUGGACAAAGAGGCCUGGCAUGCUGCAGUUCAUGGGGUUGCAAUGAGUCGGAUACGACUGAGUGACUGAACUGGACUGGAACUCAUUGCCCUCUAACACAAUGUAUAAUUUACUUAUUAUACCUAUACCUACUGUGGAGGAUCUACCCCAGGUGGCAGUGUGCCGGAACAACUCACAUCAUGACGACAACAUUGUUCAAUUUGGGGGAAUCUUUGUGAGUCAGUUUGUAAACUGGUGGUCAGUCGAAAUAAGCCAUGAUGCGGUAUUUAUGCCAAGGACAUGUGCAAAGGCACAGAUCAGGGCUUCCCCACGUUGGGGUCAGUUUUUCAACACGGAACCAACACAUCCCCUGCACAGGACAGAGCCUUUCCGAACCACUGCCAGGCCUGGGAGAGGCCACCAUCCAGGAGUCCAGAAAGUAUAGUAGGACUCCUAGGCCCCAGGGGGAGAGGCACUCCUGCAGGGACUCCAGGAGACAGCGCCCCAGGGGAUGUCCCUGACUGGGGCAGGCAGUGCUUCUUCUCAAGACCACUGAAGCCUAGGGAAGUUAACUUGACCUCCGGUUCUGGGGCAUCUCUAAGCCUCAGUCCCUCAGCAGAGAAACAGGGCUAAGAACGCCACCCUUACUGUUUGUGAGUUUGUGAAGUGAGAAUGAAUGAUCUAGUGGGGACCUAGACUAGCUUAACGGAGAGGACUGAGCAAUUAUACAAUCAGGUCUCUUGAUCUGGGAUAGCCUUGGAUGAAAUGGAAAGUGGGGUUUCAAGGUCAAGGAGGGAUGGAGAGUGCUAGUCAAAACUCAGCAAAUCUCAAAUUUAGGAAUAAAUUUCUCGACUCUGACCCAAAUUGGAGAGGCCAGGUGUCAGCCUCCAGGUCUAUAGCUCUCAGAGCCCAAGCCCAACUCUCUGUGGACGAGCGCGAGAAAGACACCAGCAGGGCGGCGGAAUGGGGCAGGAUCCAUCCGGGGAGGCGCCGCCCUCCCGCAGAGCCCCGUCCGCGGCCCCGCCCCCCGCCCCGCCCGCGGCCCCGCCCCGCCA